ACUGGGCCUGGCUGGAAUGCCUCCCGUGUGUGCUCCUCCAUGUUCUUUCUACUUCUUGUAAGAAUCUGUAGAAGCCACGUGUUGAAAAUGGAAGAGUCCCAAGUUGGAAGGAGGUUGGGUGCUUCUAUCACCAUUUGAGGAAGAAUUACCCACUAGCUGAUCAGGGAUCAGCCAUUUUGAACAUUACACAAGCAGGAAAUGAACUUCUAUUGUGGUAAGCCACUGAGAUUUUAAGUUUUAUCUGUUAUAGCCACUAGUGUUAACUAAUACAGGAGUCCUGCCUUCACUUCCCCUGCCUGAGUCCAAUCCAGGUAUGCCCAGCUGGGCAUCUCAGGUGGUAGAAAUGCCAUGGUCCCCACUCAAAGUUUCCUCUCCAUUCGUGUAUGCACCUAUCCACAGGAACCAAGCCCCCAGUCUUUCUCCUGAUAGUCUUCCUCCUAGGAAUCAUCCCAAAAGCUGAGCCUCAGUGGAAGCUGCCCUACCCAGAUAUCCACCUGGGAAGACCCCAGAGAAAGCCACUGGCUGCCUACCCUGGGAUUUGUUUUGUAGCCUCUGCAUCUAGAAGACCAGCACCAAUUUCUACUCAAGGAACAAAAAGAAUCUAUACACAUCACAGAAUAAAUAACCCCACAGAUUACAAAUAACCCAUUCUCCAGGCUCACUGGCCUCAUUCUAUGCCCGGAAACCUCUGUGUCAUUUUGUCUCUAUGUCUCUUUCAUCAGAAAGCAAAAUGCACAAUGUAGCUCUGUUCUGGGAAGAGCUAUGGGUUACUGCAAAUGGAAGCGUCUGACUAUGACUGCCGGACUGCCUGGAGUUUGGGUCAGCAGGGGAUGUCAGCUUUUCAAUCCCUCUCUAAAAGCCCCUUCCCCCAACUAUGCAUUAGGGAGACUUCUCUGUAGCUGGAAGACAGACGCUUAGUGUUCCUUCCUGGAGGCUGCAAGCCCAUCCAUCCUUGUGCUGUGAUUGCCAUCUUGUGGCAGAGAGACAACAAGGCAAUGGGGGAGGACCCAACCAAUGAUGAGCCUCCCAAGAGCACCACGAGAUGAUGGUCAAAAUCAGAGUUCCUUUGUCUGCCCCCACCACCCACCACCAAAAAAAAAAAGCGUCCUGCUCUCUGUUUACCAUUCCCCAAAUCAUAUGCUUUGGGGAUUCUCUGCAACUGGUUUUUUUAUUUAGCUAUUAUAAAAAUGAUACAUGCCCAUCAUUUACAAAUUUAGGCCGGGUGCAGUGGCUCAUGCCUGUAAUCCCAGCACUUUGGGAGGCCAAGGUGGGCGGAUCACAAGGUCAGGAGAUCGAGACCAUCCUGGCCAAAAUGGUGAAACCCCGUCUCUACUAAAAUACAAAAAAUUAGCCAGGCGUUGUGGCGCGCACAUGUAGUCCCAGCUACUCAGGAGGCUGAGGCAGGAGAAUCGCUUGAACCCAGGAGGCGGAGGUUGCAGUGAGCUGAGAUUGAGCCACUGCACUCCAGCCUGGGCGACAGAGCCAGACUCUGUCUCAAAAAAAAAAAAAAAAAAAAUUGAAACAUGACUGAAGAAUUUAAAGACUAAAGUCAAAAGUCACCCCAAAUGCAGCCACUCUGAACUACCAGCAUUAGUAUACGGGGCAAGUCCCUGCAGCCAUCUCUCCAUGCCACUGACAAGCAGAGAAGCAGAUGGCCCAGUAGCGGUUCAGAGCUUGGGCUCUGGUGCCCGGCUGCCGGGGUUCCUGGUUGGCUUUGCCACUUCCUAAUUUGUGACCUUAGGCAAAUUCCUUAACCUCCAUGUAUCUUAUGUUCUCACCUUAAAAACAGGGACAACAGUGGCAUCUCUUACAGAAUGGCUAUAGGGACUUCCUCUGCAAACCUCAGAGCACAGUGCCUGGCACUUGGUAAACAUUCACAUGUCAGCCACUGUUAAUGAUGGAUGGAUGAACGGGCAGAUAGCGAGAUAUACUUUUAGGAGAAGGAUGUUUAAUGUCGCAUGUUACCUUCUUUUUUCAGUUUUAUUUUUCCCCUUCUUUUCACAGAUGGUGAUGCAUGUUACUUUUUACUUUAAAGAAAAAAGUAUGAACUGUGAAAAGAACAGGAUAGGGAAUCCAUAAUUGGAGAGGCUAGGAACUGAGUAGCUGAAUCCUCCUGGGUCCACAGGUGAUUAGCCACAUGUCUCCUGACUGGCUCUUCCUCCCCAUCUGGUUUCCCCCUGCCACCAGCAUGCCACCAGAGAUGCUGCCCCUAGCUGUAGCAGUUCCCACUUGAGCUGUUCUCAAUCAGGAGGAAAAAGGUGUGCUAAUAACCAACCAGGGAGAAACGGAAUCAGGAGAGAAAACCCAUCCUGCUGCUGGCACAAAUCUCUGAGAGCCAGCACCGAUGCAUUGCUCUGUCCAGGGGCUUCAAGGCCACUGAGGAGGAUGAAAGAAAUCAGUGACCAUUUCUGCAGUUGUGAAAGGCAGCGGGCAUACCACACCUCCUCACUGCCUUCAUGUACUGCCCACUAACUGUGUAUGAUGCAGGCCUUCUCCCAGCCCCUAGCAGAACACGGACCUGCCCUGGCUCUGACUCCCCAGAACCCACAGUCAGGUGACUGGACCUCUUUCCACUCCAAACUGUGGGUGAGAUGGCCAAGUGAUGCAGAGCUGGCCAUCACCAGGGCCAGCCUGCUUUCCAGCCCUCUGGCUUCCCCAUCCAGGAUUUGAAGAGUAAACCCAGAGUUUCCCAAAGCAGUCAAAGGAGCCCUGAGAAGAGUCACAGGGACGGAAGGAAAGUUCCUGCCACAUAAGAAUGGGGCAUAAAAGGCUAUGUCCAAUUCCCCUUAGGAAUCCCAUACACCUGUAGGGAAAAAAAGAGGCUGGCAGGCUGGGAAUGUGCUCACAGAAACAGCCAGCCUUUGGGAGAAUGCCAAGUAGCAAGGGCAUGGACACUCCCUCUUGCCCAGGACAGAGGCACACACCCUGGGGCUGCUAUUCUCCUUUUGUCCUCCCCUCCCCUCCUGCAGUGAAUGGAGGCCUGGACAGGUAAGAACGUCCCACAGAAAGGCAUGUCCAUGACGAGGCACUGGGAAAGAGAGAACAGCAUUCCCAGAAAUGUGUCCCAGGAUUCUGCCAGACCACAUAUUUGUCACAUUUGAGUAGUCCUGAGAAGGCCUCUAGAUCUCUUCGUGUACUAGCUGGCUUUGUAAGUAGACAUCAGAUUUGGAUUCUGGAAACUUGGGCUCAAGUCCCAAUCCAGGCACUAGCCAUGUGACCUUAUGUAAGGCAUUCCCCAUCUCUGGGCCUCGGUUUGCUCAGUAGCAUGACAGGGUAAAUUAAGAGAUGCCUCCUUGGCCUCCUCCAACUCUGACUCUACAGUCCUCAGUAGUGGCCGUAGCAUGGAGAAAGGAGAAGAGGACUGAUAGGGGAGGCUCCUGCUCAGCUUAGGUCCAUCCCCAGAUGCAGCAGAUGAAUGACUGACUGGUUAUGUUUCCACUUUUCUGUCUACCCAAAACAUGCCUGCCCUUGUUUAAGGAAGGCAACUCCUGAUCUCCACCUUGAUUUCACAUCAGAAAGACAUCAGAGAGACUCAGAGUGCAGCUGGGCAAUCCUCACAUUUUACACGCAAAGAAGAUAAAGCUCCGAGAGUUAGAAGCAUUGCUAGCAGUGAAACCCAGGACUCUGAGUCUACCUCUGCAGAGUGAUUGCAAGCUUUCUGAAGCAUGCUAUCCUUCUGAUUGAGACUGCCCAGAAACACAGGGGCUGAAAUGACAUUAGGGGCACUAGAGUGGUAAGCACAGAGUAUGAACAUGGAAAUUAUUAAUUCUAGGAAUCCAGCUGCAUUACAGCCCAAUUAUUUACAUAAUCUCAACAAUGGAAGUUUCAUACAUUUGGAGUUCAUUAAAUAAUUGUUCUAUCUUAUAAGAAAGUUGGAAUAAUGCAGUGGCUUACUCUGUGGAUCUAAAGAAAACAAUGGACUGUGAUCUUGACCCUGACUUCCCAAAAACAUAAACGCCUGUUCUUGAAACAAUUUCAAAGGAUUCCCAAACUCAAUGAAACUCACAAAUAAUCUACUAGGUGUUAAGGGACCCCAGAUUAAGAGUCCCUGGAAAAGAAAGACCUCAGGCUUUUAAAAAUUGACACAUGAGAUCUAAUUAAACUAAAGAGCUUCUGCACAGCAAAAGAAACUAUCAUCAGAGUGAACAGGCAACCUGCAGAAUGGGAGAAAAUUUUUGCAAUCUAUCCAUCUGACAAAGGGCUAAUAUCCAGAAUCUACAAAGAACUUAAACAAAUUUACAAGUAAAAAACAACCCCGUCGAAAAGUGGGCGAAGGAUAUGAACAGACACUUCUCAAAAGAAGACAUUUAUGCGGCCAACAAACAUAUGAAAAAAAGCUCAUCAUCACUGGUCAUUAGAGAAAUGCAAAUCAAAACCACAACAAGAUACUAUCUCACGCCAGUUAGAAUGGCAAUCAUUAAAAAGUCAGUAAAGAACAGAUGCUGGAGAGGACAUAGAGUAAUAGGAAUGCUUUUACACUGUUGGUGGGAGUGUAAAUUAGUUCAACCAUUGUGGAAGACAGUGUGGCAAUUCCUCAAGGAUCUAGAACCAGAAAUACCAUUUGACCCAGCAAUCCCAUUACUGGGUAUAUACCCAAAAGAUCAUAAAUCAUUCUACUUUAAAGACUCAUGCACACAUAUGUUUAUUGCAGCACUAUUCACAAUAGCAAAGACUUGGAACCAACCCAAAUGUCCAUCAAUGAUAGACUGGAUAAAGAAAAUGUG
rnacentral:lncRNA from 10 species